GCUAAACGCGAAGAACCUUACCAGGGCUCGACAUCCUGCUAAUUUCUCCGAAAGGAGAAAGUGCCUUCGGGCCGCAGUGACAGGUGUUGCAUGGCCGUCGUCAGCUCGUGUCGUGAGAUGUUAGGUUAAGUCCUUCAACGAGCGCAACCCUUAUGUUUAGUUGGAUUUUUCUAAACAGACUGCCUCGGUAACGGGGAGGAAGGAGGGGAUGAUGUCAGGUCAUUAUUGCCCUUACGUCCUGGGCUAGAAACGCGCUACAAUGGCCGGUACAAAGGGCAGCCAACCCGCGAGGGGGAGCAAAUCCCAUCAAAACCGGUCCCAGUUCGGAUUGCAGGCUGAAACUCGCCUGCAUGAAGCCGGAAUCACUAGUAAUCGUAGGUCAGCACACUACGGUGAAUACGUUCCCGGGUCUUGUACACACCG
rnacentral:rRNA from 1 species